rnacentral:rRNA from 1 species
AGAGUUUGAUCAUGGCUCAGGAUGAACGCUGGCGGCGUGCCUAACACAUGCAAGUCGAGCGAUUUACUUCGGUAAAGAGCGGCGGACGGGUGAGUAACGCGUGGGUAACCUGCCCUGUACACACGGAUAACAUACCGAAAGGUAUGCUAAUACGAGAUAAUAUGCUUUUAUCGCAUGGUAGAAGUAUCAAAGCUUUUGCGGUACAGGAUGGACCCGCGUCUGAUUAGCUAGUUGGUAAGGUAACGGCUUACCAAGGCGACGAUCAGUAGCCGACCUGAGAGGGUGAUCGGCCGCAUUGGAACUGAGACACGGUCCAAACUCCUACGGGAGGCAGCAGUGGGGAAUAUUGCACAAUGGGCGAAAGCCUGAUGCAGCAACGCCGCGUGAGCGAUGAAGGCCUUCGGGUCGUAAAGCUCUGUCCUCAAGGAAGAUAAUGACGGUACUUGAGGAGGAAGCCCCGG